AGCGAACGCUGGCGGCAGGCCUAACACAUGCAAGUCGAACGAACCUUUCGGGGUUAGUGGCGGACGGGUGAGUAACACGUGGGAACGUGCCUUUAGGUUCGGAAUAACUCAGGGAAACUUGUGCUAAUACCGAAUGUGCCCUUCGGGGGAAAGAUUUAUCGCCUUUAGAGCGGCCCGCGUCUGAUUAGCUAGUUGGUUGAGGUAAUGGCUCACCAAGGCGACGAUCAGUAGCUGGUCUGAGAGGAUGAUCAGCCACAUUGGGACUGAGACACGGCCCAAACUCGUACGGGAGGCAGCAGUGGGGAAUCUUGCGCAAUGGGCGAAAGCCUGACGCAGCCAGGCCGCGUGAAUGAUGAAGGUCUUAGGAUUGUAAAAUUCUUUCACCGGGGACGAUAAUGACGGUACCCGGAGAAGAAGCCCCGGCUAACUUCGUG
rnacentral:rRNA from 1 species